rnacentral:rRNA from 1 species
AACGAACGCUGGCGGCGCGCUUAAUACAUGCAAGUCGAACGAGAAGGUGUAGCAAUACACUUGUAAAGUGGCGAACGGGUGAGGAAUACAUGGGUAACCUACCCUCGAGUGGGGAACAACCAGCCGAAAGGUUGGCUAAUACCGCGUACGCUUCCGGGUCUUCGGAUUCGGAAGGAAAGUCAUACCGUGGGUAUGACGCUCAAGGAUGGGCUCAUGUCCUAUCAGCUUGUUGGUAGGGAACGGCCUACCAAGGCUUCGACGGGUAGCUGGUCUGAGAGGACGAUCAGCCACACUGGCACUGCGACACGGGCCAGACUCCUACGGGAGGCAGCAGUAAGGAAUAUUGCGCAAUGGGCGAAAGCCUGACGCAGCGACGCCGCGUGGGGGAUGAAGGUCUUCGGAUUGUAAACCCCUUUCGGGAGGGAAAAGUGGAACGAGCAAUCGUUCGGAUGGUACCUCCAGAAGCAGCCACGGCUAACUUCGUGCCAGCAGCCGCUGU